GACGAACGCUGGCGGCGUGCUUAACACAUGCAAGUAGAACGGACAGGCCAUGCUUUUGUUGGGUGCUCGAGUGGCGAACGGGUGAGUAACACGUGAGUAACCUGCCCUUGACUUUGGGAUAACUUCAGGAAACUGGGGCUAAUACCGGCUAAGAGCUCCUGCUGUUUGGUGGGGGUUGGAAAGUUUCGGCGGUUUGGGAUGGACUCGCGGCUUAUCAGCUCGUUGGUGGGGUAGUGGAUUACCAAGGCAUCGACGGGUAGCCGGCCUGAGAGGGUGACCGGCCACAUUGGGACUGAGAUGCGGCCCAGACUCCUACGGGAGGCAGCGGUGGGGAAUAUUGCAAAAUGGGCGGAAGCCUGGUGCAGCAAUGCCGCGUGCGGGAUGACGGCCGUCGGGUUAUAAACCGCUUUCGCGUGUGACGAAGAGUGAGUGACGGUAAUGGGUCAAGAAGCAACGGCUAACUACGUG
rnacentral:rRNA from 1 species